rnacentral:rRNA from 1 species
UGGGGAAUAUUGGACAAUGGGCGAAAGCCUGAUCCAGCCAUGCCGCGUGUGUGAAGAAGGUCUUCGGAUUGUAAAGCACUUUAAGUUGGGAGGAAGGGCAGUAAGCGAAUACCUUGCUGUUUUGACGUUACCGACAGAAUAAGCACCGGCUAACUCUGUGCCAGCAGCCGCGGUAAUACAGAGGGUGCAAGCGUUAAUCGGAAUUACUGGGCGUAAAGCGCGCGUAGGUGGUUCGUUAAGUUGAAUGUGAAAGCCCCGGGCUCAACCUGGGAACUGCAGCCAAAACUGGCGAGCUAGAGUAGGGCAGAAGGUGGUGGAAUUUCCUGUGUAGCGGUGAAAUGCGGAGAUAUAGGAAGGAACACCAGUGGCGAAGGCGACCACCUGGGCUCAUACUGACACUGAGGUGCGAAAGCGUGGGGAGCAAACAGG